GAUCAUGGCUCAGGACGAACGCUGGCAGCGUGCCUAGUACAUGCAAGUCGAACGCUUCUUUUUCCAUCGGAGCUUGCUCCACCGGAAAAAGAGGAGUGGCGAACGGGUGAGUAACACGUGGGUAACCUGCCCAUCAGAAGGGGAUAACACUUGGAAACAGGUGCUAAUACCGUAUAACAAUCGAAACCGCAUGGUUUUGAUUUGAAAGGCGCUUUCGGGUGUCGCUGAUGGAUGGACCCGCGGUGCAUUAG
rnacentral:rRNA from 1 species